CUGGAGGUCUGCCAGAGUGAAUCUCCAUCCUGCAGGGGCUGAGGCACCCAGCUGCUACCAGUACUACCACCAUGUCACGUGGACCUUCUUUUUUCUUCUAAAUCUCAACCAUAUUAUCUAUCUGGCUGUGCAAGGAAGAUCAAUAAGGAGGAGCUCUAACAAUUUCCAUUGGUUUUCUGCAAUCCAAACCGAGAUGAUCCAGGCUUAAACAAGAC
rnacentral:lncRNA from 1 species